GCCCGGGAUAAGAACAUUCUUAUUAUAUAGAACAAUUCAUGCUAUUGCAAACAGUAAAUUUUAUCAAAUGAAUAUGAAAGAGAUAUACAUAAAGAAACUGAAGUAUUAACUAAUUACAGAAAACUAAACCCGAAUACAUAACGCCCAGAUAUAAAAGAUCGAAAGUGAAAAAGGCACAAAGCCACACAGCACCGAAGACCAAAAGCUGAAAAGGUCUUGCCACUCUCCCCACUUAUGGAAAAAGAUGUUAUCCCGUUGAAUAUAAGUUAAAUUCCUUAUAUUGCAUUAUGAUACAAUUAACAGGUUUCUUUUCAAUUGUUAUGCAAAUAACUAAGC
rnacentral:lncRNA from 1 species